UGUUAGCGGCGGACGGGUGAGUAACACGUGGGUAACCUGCCUGUAAGACUGGGAUAACUCCGGGAAACCGGGGCUAAUACCGGAUGCUUGUUUGAACCGCAUGGUUCAAACAUAAAAGGUGGCUUCGGCUACCACUUACAGAUGGACCCGCGGCGCAUUAGCUAGUUGGUGAGGUAAUGGCUCACCAAGGCAACGAUGCGUAGCCGACCUGAGAGGGUGAUCGGCCACACUGGGACUGAGACACGGCCCAGACUCCUACGGGAGGCAGCAGUAGGGAAUCUUCCGCAAUGGACGAAAGUCUGACGGAGCAACGCCGCGUGAGUGAUGAAGGUUUUCGGAUCGUAAAGCUCUGUUGUUAGGGAAGAACAAGUACCGUUCGAAUAGGGCGGUACCUUGACGGUACCUAACCAGAAAGCCACGGCUAACUACGUGCCAGCAGCCGCGGUAAUACGUAGGUGGCAAGCGUUGUCCGGAAUUAUUGGGCGUAAAGGGCUCGCAGGCGGUUUCUUAAGUCUGAUGUGAAAGCCCCCGGCUCAACCGGGGAGGGUCAUUGGAAACUGGGGAACUUGAGUGCAGAAGAGGAGAGUGGAAUUCCACGUGUAGCGGUGAAAUGCGUAGAGAUGUGGAGGAACACCAGUGGCGAAGGCGACUCUCUGGUCUGUAACUGACGCUGAGGAGCGAAAGCGUGGGGAGCGAACAGGAUUAGAUACCCUGGUAGUCCACGCCGUAAACGAUGAGUGCUAAGUGUUAGGGGGUUUCCGCCCCUUAGUGCUGCAGCUAACGCAUUAAGCACUCCGCCUGGGGAGUACGGUCG
rnacentral:rRNA from 1 species